UGAGGAAUAUUGGUCAAUGGACGCAAGUCUGAACCAGCCAUGCCGCGUGCAGGAAGAAGGUGCUAUGCAUUGUAAACUGCUUUUAUACGGGGGUAAUUACAGAUACGUGUAUCUGGAUGAAAGUACCGUAUGAAUAAGGAUCGGCUAACUCCGUGCC
rnacentral:rRNA from 1 species